UACGUAGGGGGCGAGCGUUGUCCGGAGUUACUGGGCGUAAAGCGCUUGUAGGCGGUCCACCAAGUUUGGGGUGACAGUUGCCGACUUAAUCGGCAAAGUGCCUCAAAGACUGGCGGACUUGAGGGCCACAGAGGGACAUGGAACUCCAGGUGUAGUGGUGAGAUGCGUAGAUAUCUGGAAGAACACCAAAGGCGAAGGCAGUGUCCUGGGUGGUCGCUGACGCUGAGAGGCGAAAGCCAGGGGAGCGAACGGG
rnacentral:rRNA from 1 species